UGGGGGAUAUUGCACAAUGGGCGAAAGCCUGAUGCAGCGACGCCACGUGGGGGAUGAAGGCUUCCGGGUUGUAAACCUCUUUCGCUAUCGAACAAGGCCCGCUUAGGGUGGGUUGAGGGUAGGUGGAGAAGAAGCGCCGGCUAACUACGUGCCAGCAGCCGCGGGAAUACGUAGGGCGCGAGCGUUGUCCGGAAUUAUUGGGCGUAAAGGGCUUGUAGGCGGCUUGUUGCGCCUGCUGUGAAAACGCGGGGCUUAACUUCGCGCGUGCAGUGGGUACGGGCAGGCUUGAGUGUGGUAGGGGUGACUGGAAUUCCAGGUGUAGCGGUGGAAUGCGCAGAUAUCUGGAGGAACACCGAUGGCGAAGGCAGGUCACUGGGCCAUUACUGACGCUGAGGAGCGAAAGCAUGGGUAGCGAACAGG
rnacentral:rRNA from 1 species